UUUAGGUUCAUAGCAAAAUUGAGUGUAAAGUACAGUUUCCAUGCACCCCUUAUGCCCUCUCCCAUACAACCUCCUCCACUAUCAAUAUCCCUCACCACAGCGAUGUAUUUGUUACACUAACAAAGCUACACUGAAACAUCAUCAAAUCACCUAAAGUCCACAGUUCACAUUAGAACUCACUGUUGGUGUUAUACGGUCCAUGGGUUUUGACAAAUGCAUAACAUCUUGUAUCCACCACUGAAGUAUCACACAGAAUAGUUUCAUUGCCCUAAAAAUCCUCUGUGCUCUGCCUAUUGAUCCCUCUCUCCCCCAACUCCUGGCAACGACAAUUUGUUGAACAUUUUUGGUAAUAGCUUAUAUAUAUAU
rnacentral:lncRNA from 1 species